rnacentral:rRNA from 1 species
GAUGAACGCUGGCGGUCUGCUUAACACAUGCAAGUCGAACGGGCUCUUCGGAGCUAGUGGCGGACGGGUGAGUAACGCGUGAGAAUCUGCCUUCAGGAGGGGGAUAACGACUGGAAACGGUCGCUAAUACCCCAUAUGCCUCCGGGUGAAAAGUAAUUCGCCUGAAGAUGAGCUCGCGUCAGAUUGGCUAGUUGGUGGGGUAAGAGCCUACCAAGGCGACGAUCUGUAGCUGGUCUGAGAGGAUGAUCAGCCACACUGGGACUGAGACACGGCCCAGACUCCUACGGGAGGCAGCAGUGGGGAAUUUUCCGCAAUGGGCGCAAGCCUGACGGAGCAAGACCGCGUGGGGGAUGGCGGCCUAAUGGUUGUAAACCCCUUKUCUCUGGGAAGAAGACUGACGGGUACCAGAGGAAUCAGCCUCGGCUAACUCCGUGCCAGCAGCCGCGGUAAUUACGGAGGAGGCAAGCGUUAUCCGGAAUUAUUGGGCGUAAAGCGUCCGUAGGUGGUUAUUCAAGUCUGCUGUCAAAGCGUGGGGCUUAACUCCAUAGAGGCAGUGGAAACUGAGUGACUAGAGUGCGGUAGGGGUCGAGGGAAUUCCCAGUGUAGCGGUGAAAUGCGUAGAUAUUGGGAAGAACACCAGUGGCGAAAGCGCUCGACUGGGCCUGCACUGACACUGAGGGACGAAAGCUAGGGGAGCGAAAGGGAUUAGGUACUCCUGUAGUCCUAGCCCUAAACGAUGGAUACUAGGUGUUGCUCG